AGUGAACGCUGGCGGUAGGCCUAACACAUGCAAGUCGAACGGCAGCACAGUAAGAGCUUGCUCUUACGGGUUGCGAGUGGCGGACGGGUGAGGAAUACAUCGGAAUCUACUUUUUCGUGGGGGAUAACGUAGGGAAACUUACGCUAAUACCGCAUACGACCUACGGGUGAAAGCAGGGGAUCUUCGGACCUUGCGCGAUUGAAUGAGCCGAUGUCGGAUUAGCUAGUUGGCGGGGUAAAGGCCCACCAAGGCGACGAUCCGUAGCUGGUCUGAGAGGAUGAUCAGCCACACUGGAACUGAGACACGGUCCAGACUACUACGGGAGGCAGCAGUGGGGAAUAUUGGACAAAGGGCGCAAGCCUGAUCCAGCCAUACCGCGUGGGUGAAGAAGGCCUUCGGGUUGUAAAGCCCUUUUGUUGGGAAAGAAAAUCAGCAGGUUAAUACCCCGCUGUUCUGACGGUACCCAAAGAAUAAGCACCGGCUAACUUCGUG
rnacentral:rRNA from 1 species